rnacentral:lncRNA from 1 species
AAUACAGGUUCAAAGCUGUGAAGGUAACCUAGGACCUCUCCUUUCAGCUCCUUCUGCCAGUGGUCCAUUUAUUCAGCUUGUUCUGCCAAUGGUCCAUGAAUCUAGCAGUACUAGACCAGGGGAGUCCUCCCUAUAGCAGAAUUAUCCAAGUUUGUGUUGUCUCCAUUGUGGUCAAGCUGCCACUCUUCAGAUCCCUUAAUGAGUCAACUUGUUCAUGUUGAAUCUGACUUCCGGUGUGCAGCGGAUAAUCACCUGUGUUUGUUAAGCUUCAAGAAAAGGAAGUGGUUGCUGAAGGAAGACUUUCUUUAGGGACCCUCCUGACAGUAAAGUGUGUCACCCCUAGUGUCGUGACUACAGUCCUUCCUCUGACUCCACAGGCCUUUGGCCAUUUAGUCCAGUUUUUGGUUAACAUCAAGGAAUCAAAAGAUGCUGGAUAAAUGACCUUGGAAGCUGGGUGGUGGCGUUAGAUAUCUUUAAUCCCAGCAGUCGGGAGGCAGAAGCAGGCAGAUCUCCAUGAGUUCAAAGUCAGGCUGCUCCUACAAAGUGGAGCCAGGACAACCAGGACUGUUGUAGAAAAACCCUGUUUCAAAAGCAAAAAAAAAAAGAAAAAGCAAAACAAGAGUCACUGGAAUGUCUGAUAAAUGGCAUUGCAGUCAAUCUUGUCUCUUGUCUAGGGGGAAAAAAGAUGUAUUUUAGUAUUUUAAAUUUUCA